GCGACGUGUUGGCCUCUCGCGCGCGCCUUAUUUAUUUAUCCGGAUUAACCGGGAUGCCGGGGGCGGGGGGUGGGGAGCUGGGGGCGGCCGCCGGCGCCCCGGGGUGGGGGGCCGGGAGCCGGGGUGCGGGCUCGCGCGCGGGACGCGGGGCGGAGCGGGGUCGGGUGGGGGGCGACACCCGGCGGCGAGCUGGCGGGGGGCGCCCCAGGCCCGGCGCUGGGCGCGCCGCAGCCGGCGCCGGCGCUGGCCGGGCUCCGGGAAGCUAGUCCGGAGCGGAGGAAUCUAUUGUUAUUUAUUGUGUGGCGGCCGCACGCUGUACUCGCGGCGGCCGCACGCUGUACUCGGCCCUCGCCCGGGAGUGCGUGUGUGUGUGUGUGCGCGCGGUGAGUGUGUGCGCGGGGCGCGCGCGCGGGCGGGAGUGGGCGCGCGCGGGGAAAAGGCCCGAAAACACCUUAGUUUGCACCGAGAGACCAUUUGCAGCGGAACCCUGAAAAGUUUGCAAGAGGAAAGCGAGCGCGCGGCGAGCGAGCGGGCAAGGGGCAGCGGCAGCGGCGCCGGGGACCAUGGUGCUGCCGGCGCCUCCUCCGCGGGCGUGAAGGCGGCGCCCCCUCUGCCUCCCCGGACUCGGCGGUGUCCCAGGAGCUUUGGCUGCCAAUUCCAGUUUCCCAGCGCCGCGUUUCGGCAGUGGCGAGGGCUUCGGUCCCUUCCCUGAUCUGCUGUCAACCAUGAGUGGACGGUUGUGAUGCCUGCUAGCUGGAAGG
rnacentral:lncRNA from 1 species